AAAACGUCCAUAUUUUAAGGGUUAUCACUCUAUAGGGAAAAUGAAAUUUCUGAACUCGAUUUAGCUUAAUUAUGAUAACUUUCUAAAAUUCAAUUUUGUCCAAUCUCAAUUUCAUUUUUAGAACACAAGAAUAGCAAACCUUUCACUUGGUCGAAGUCACACUUAUAAAGGUCAUGGUCAAGACCAGCAAGAGAGAAAUAUCUAGACUAAGGGCUGGUCUACACGAUACGAUUAGUCGUAUACGAUCCUUAUUCAUGACAAUCGUACACGAUUAAUCGUAUCGUAUGUUUGUAUGUAUCGAAUUUACUUCUUUAAGCGCCACCCCCGUUUGAACGCCGCCCUGGCAAAAGCAUGCACCACACUUAUUCACAACAAUGCAGCCUUAAUCAAAGUACGCGGUGAGACAGAACUGUUUUACGAACUAAAGCCUGGUUCACAUAUAUGCCGGCGACGAUGCCGGUGGUAGCUUUAAAACGUAAAUUGUGUAAACAUUUGUUCGCCGAUUGCCUCCAGUGCCACAGUUACAUCGGCGGCAAGUAGAGGCAUAAUGAUACAGUCGCAGGCAUACCGCAGGCAUAUGUGAACCAGGCUUAAGCUAAAAAAGAACAUGCAACAGUGCAUCUCAAUCUAUCGAAACUGUUUCACCUCGAUGUACGUGGAGUCCACUCGUCUCACGAAAUCCUGUUUAUCGUCGGCAUUCCAUUGUGGGAAUUUUGUACGGUCGUUGCUUAAGGGGAUCGACGAGAAGGGGGGUUUCAAGAUGCAUGGCGACUAUUUUUCAAGAUCGUUAAAGCGCGAAAGAAUAUAUAUAAUAUACUUAUAAUAAAUUAAUAAUCCAAAACCCUUAAACCGUACUCUAAACCUUACCCUAUAAUUAAUGGUGGAUUUCCACUGAUAGUCUUAAGCCUGGUUCACAUGCCUGCGCUAUCAUUGUUUACAGCUGUCGAUACAUAAAUUAUUUUGUGAAUCAUUUGGUUGAAUUGCUAACGACAAUAGCCCGCCGAAAUACCGCAGGUACAUGUGAACCAGGCUUUACAGAGAAACAUUUCGCCUGAUUUCUUUUGAAUUGUGACCAUCCGAAUAAAUUAGUUCUCCUUGACCGCUGAAAAUUCAGAAGAAAUUGAGCGAAAAAUUUCGACGGCGAAACGGCAAGUGGAAUCCUGCUUAUAAUCUAAACCUUGGGUCACACCAGCACUUCGGCGAUUUUUCUUCUGGCAAAAGCGAUCGAAUGAAUGACAUGCAAAAGACUUAGAAUUGUUCACUUCUGACUGAAAAGCGACUCGCUGUCCUGAUAUGAAUCCGUCAGAAACACAAAAUCGCCGACAAAAUUGCUAGUGUGAACCAGGCUUAACCUCUGCGUUUAAUUAUUAAAGUGCCUAUGACACGAAAUUUCACCCCAAAGGUUUAUGGUUGCAUUGUAAAGAUCACUUAAAAUGACCUAAUAAUUUCUUUCAUAGAAUUUUGGUAACUUGCUCCCUUUUCAAGAUAUUCAACUUUGUUUCAUAUGCAAAUAUCACCGGUGUGACAUCACAUCACAUCACAUCAUGAGUUUUCAGAAAAGUAUCGUUUUCUUGACGAAUACGUAUCUAAAAAACUUAAAAAUUGCCCUUGUAUAUGUAUUAAUUUCAUAACUGGUAAUUAACCCUUUGUAUUUGUUUGUAAAAAUAUUUUAUCAAGGUAAAAUAUUGCGUUUUCAAAAUGUCAUGCGAUGUGAUGCCACACCGGUGAUAUUUGCAUAUGAAACAAAGUUGAAUAUCUUGAAAAAGGAAGCAAGUUACCAAAAUUCUAUAAAAGAAAUUAUUGAGUCAUUUUAAGUGAUCUUUACAAUGCAAGCAUAAACAUUUGGGGUGAAAUUUCGUGUCAUAGGCACUUUAUAAGGGCUAAUUGUUUAUGUGAACCUCCUGCAUGGUUUGAAUUAUUUCUGUGUUCAAACAGAGCUAUACCAAUACUGAUACAUAGAAUACAUAUAUUAAAUUUACGGAGAGGCUGGAUUGAAAAUUGGAAUUAUACUAGUCUUAAUUUAUCGAAAUUUGUUAGGACAUCGAAGCAAUACUUUGGCUACCAAUGUUCCCACGGAUCUGUCUUUCAUUGCAAUAACAUACAUAAACACGUCAUGAUUAUUAAAAUAUAACGAAAAGAGCGAUUUAUUUGACUAAGCUUAUAGACAAAAUGUAGCAAUUGCUACUAUGGACCAGUUUCAACAGGUAUAAUCUAUGAGGUGAAGCUGCAUGAGAUUUGAAACAGCUUGACGAUGUUUAACAUUGCUAUUUUCAGAA